UUAUGGGUCCGCCGCAUAGGCAG
rnacentral:siRNA from 1 species